rnacentral:misc_RNA from 1 species
UAAUAUUCAUAAAGGCUCGCACUUCCUCUCCGAAUACCUUAUCAUCUAUGAUAGAUUGCCUUAUGUUCUCUGUUAAUCCAUUCAUCUCUUCCCUGAGUUCCUUGGCAUUCUUCUGCACAUUUUCUUGGAGAAUCUUUAUCCAUUCUUCUAGCUCUGCUGCCCUAACCAUUGGCUAACUACCACUGACCUAGCCAGAAUUCCGACUCCCAAGAACUGAAAAUUGAUUCAGUCCCACUCGUCACAAGCUCUACCAAUAUUACUAUUAACUGAGUGUGAAGUGGGAACCCUAAAAUCACAGUUAUAGCUGAGGAAAAGAAGAGAAA